CUCAACUUUCAAAAUUGGAUUCCUCGUCUCCAUUUUCACAAACACUAUCUCAGUCUGAGCAGAAAUUAUCUAUGGAUCGGACCACAGCCUUCCAACUGACUUCACCCCCAAGCACCUCCCCCAAUUAGCCUUACCUCCCAAAUCCAUUCUCUACACAGCUUUCAAAGUGAUCAAAACAAAACAAAUCAAAACAAAAAACAACAAUCUCUUGCCAAUGCCUCCUCACCAGCAAUAUUUUCUGAUUGGACCUGGAGGUCAGUGAGCAAGAGAGGGUUAGAGGAAGUCCACACUGGUCAGCCUUCUGGGGAACAGAGAAAGACAAAGAAAAACAAACACCAAAAAAAUCCCCCACAAACAUACCUUUGGGUGAGGAUUUUAAAAAAAGAAUAAAGUACUGAUAUGUGUGCAACAUGGAUGGAUUUAAAAAUACGCUAAAUAAAGGAAGUCAUGUACAAAAGGCCACCUAUUGUAUGAGCCCCCUCCCCGCCUCCUGCCUUUAAAUGGAAUAUCCAAAAUAGGCAAAUAAGGAGACAGAAAACGGAUUAGAGGUUGAUAGGGACUGGAGGAAGGGCAAAUGGGAUUGAUUGCUAAUGUGUAAAGGUUUCUUUUGGUGACAAAAAUGUUUGGAAUGAGAUAAUGGUGACUGUUGUACAACAUGGUAAAUAUACUAAAAACUGCUGAAAUCAAGAUGCAUCGUACCAGGAAACUGAUGACUGGGAAGAUGUUCUGUGGGAUAUUCAUAUACUGCCUUGCAUUGAUUUGUGUAUCAAUCUGUUCUGGCUAUGUAUGGUGUCAGAUGGGUACUAGACUUAUCAGGGUCACUUUGUAAGUU